rnacentral:rRNA from 1 species
AGAACUUGAAACCGUGUGCUUACAAGUAGUCAGAGCCCGUUAAUGGGUGAUGGCGUGCCUUUUGUAGAAUGAACCGGCGAGUUACGAUCUGAUGCAAGGUUAAGCAGAAAAUGUGGAGCCGUAGCGAAAGCGAGUCUGAAUAGGGCGAAUGAGUAUUUGGUCGUAGACCCGAAACCAGGUGAUCUACCCUUGGUCAGGUUGAAGUUCAGGUAACACUGAAUGGAGGACCGAACCGACUUACGUUGAAAAGUGAGCGGAUGAACUGAGGGUAGCGGAGAAAUUCCAAUCGAACUUGGAGAUAGCUGGUUCUCUCCGAAAUAGCUUUAGGGCUAGCCUCAAGUGAUGAUUAUUGGAGGUAGAGCACUGUUUGGACGAGGGGCCCCUCUCGGGUUACCGAAUUCAGACAAACUCCGAAUGCCAAAUAAUUUAACUUGGGAGUCAGAAUGUGGGUGAUAAGGUCCAUAUUCGAAAGGGAAACAGCCCAGACCACCAGCUAAGGUCCCAAAAUAUAUGUUAAGUGGAAAAGGAUGUGGCGUUGCCCAGACAACUAGGAUGUUGGCUUAGAAGCAGCCAUCAUUUAAAGAGUGCGUAAUAGCUCACUAGUCGAGUGA